UACGUAGGGUCCGAGCGUUGUCCGGAGUUACUGGGCGUAAAGCGCGCGCAGGCGGCGGUGUUGGCCCGGCGUGAAAGCCCCCGGCUCAACCGGGGAGAGUCGUCGGGGACCGCACCGCUUGAGGGCGGUAGGGGCUGGUGGAAUGCCUGGUGUAGUGGUGAAAUGCGUAGAGAUCAGGCGGAACACCCGUGGCGAAGGCGGCCAGCUGGGCCGUCCCUGACGCUGAGGCGCGAAGGCGUGGGGAGCGAACGGG
rnacentral:rRNA from 1 species